AAUGACUGUACCCGAAUAAGAAGGUCCGGCUAAUUUCGUGCCAGCAGCCGCGGUAAUACGAGGGGACCUAGCGUAGUUCGGAUUUACUGGGCUUAAAGAGCACGUAGGUGGUUAAAAAAGUUUGUGGUGAAAUCCCAGAGCUUAACUCUGGAACUGCCAUCAAAACUUUUAGCUUAGAGUAUGAUAGAGGAAAGUAGAAUUUCUAGUGUAGAGGUGAAAUUCGUAGAUAUUAGAAGGAAUACCAAUUGCGAAGGCAGCUUUCUGGAUCAUCACUGACACUGAGGUGCGAAAGCAUGGGUAGCGAAGAGGAUUAGAUACCCUCGUAGUCCAUGCCGUAAACGAUGUGUGCUAGACGUUGGAAAUUUAUUUUCAGUGUCGCAGCAAAAGCAUUAAGCACACCGCCUGGGGAGUACGACCGCAAGGUUAAAACUCAAAUGAAUUGACGGGGACCCGCACAAGCAGUGGAGCAUGUGGUUUAAUUCGAAGAUACGCGCAGAACCUUACCAACACUUGACAUGUUCGUCGCGACUUUAAGAGAUUAAAGUCUUCGGUUCGGCCGGACGAAACACAGGUGCUGCAUGGCUGUCGUCAGCUCGUGUCGUGAGAUGUUGGGUUAAGUCCCGCAACGAGCGCAACCCUUACUUUUAGUUGCCAUCAUUUAGUUGGGCACUCUGAAAGAACUGCCAGUGAUAAGCUGGAGGAAGGUGGGGAUGACGUCAAGUCCUCAUGGCCCUUACGUGUUGGGCUACACACGUGCUACAAUGGCAUUUACAAUAGGAAGCAAGAUGGCGACAUCAAGCAAAUCCUAAAAAAAUGCCUCAGUUCGGAUUGUACUCUGCAACUCGAGUACAUGAAGCUGGAAUUGCUAGUAAUCGCGGAUCAGCGCGCCGCGGUGAAUACGUUCCCGGGUCUUGUACACACCGCCCGUCACACCAUGGAAGUUGGUUCUACCUUAAGGCAAAGCAUAAAACCUUGAC
rnacentral:rRNA from 1 species